UACGUAGGGGGCAAGCGUUGUCCGGAAUCAUUGGGCGUAAAGAGCGCGUAGGCGGCCCGGUAAGUCCGCUGUGAAAGUCAAGGGCUUAACCCUUGAAUGCCGGUGGAAACUGCCGGGCUAGAGUCCGGAAGAGGCGAGUGGAAUUCCUGGUGUAGCGGUGAAAUGCGCAGAUAUCAGGAGGAACACCGAUGGCGAAGGCAGCUCGCUGGGACGUUACUGACGCUGAGACGCGAAAGCGUGGGGAGCAAACAGG
rnacentral:rRNA from 1 species